rnacentral:tRNA from 1 species
GGGCCCGUGGCGCAGCUGGUAGCGCACCUGCAUGGCAUGCAGGGGGCAGGUCGCAGACGUAGCGGGCUCGCCA